UACGUAGGGGGCAAGCGUUAAUCGGAAUUACUGGGCGUAAAGCGUGCGCAGGCGGUUUUGUAAGUCUGACGUGAAAUCCCCGGGCUCAACCUGGGAAUUGCGUUGGAGACUGCAAGGCUGGAGUCUGGCAGAGGGGGGUAGAAUUCCACGUGUAGCAGUGAAAUGCGUAGAGAUGUGGAGGAACACCGAUGGCGAAGGCAGCCCCCUGGGUCAAGACUGACGCUCAUGCACGAAAGCGUGGGGAGCAAACAGG
rnacentral:rRNA from 1 species